GCCCGGGUGGCGGAAUCGGUAGACGCGUCGGACUCAAAAUCCGAUGCCCGUUGAGGGCGUGUGGGUUCGAGUCCCACCCCGGGUA
rnacentral:tRNA from 1 species